CUACAUGAAGCCGGAGUUGCUAGUAAUCGCGAAUCAGCAUGUCGCGGUGAAUACGUUCCCGGGYCUUGUACACACCGCCCGUCACACCAUGAGAGCCGAUAACACCCGAAGUCCGUGAGGUAACCGUAAGGAGCCAGCGGCCGAAGGUGGGAUUGGUGAUUGGGGUGAAGUCGUAACAAGGUAGCCGUAGGAGAACCUGCGGCUGGAUCACCUCCUUUCUAGGGAG
rnacentral:rRNA from 1 species